CUGGUAGCAGCAAUUCGUAUGGUUCCUGUUCGUGUAUUUGGAGUGCUACCUUAUUCCCUUGUAUGCCGUUCGGGAGUUUGGAGCAUUCACUUGUAUGCAGUUCGAGUGUUUGGACCAUUCCCUUGUAUGCAGUUCGAGUGUUUGGAGCAUUCCCUUGUAUGCCGUUCGGGAGUUUGGAGCAUUCACUUGUAUUCAGUUCAUGAGUUUUGGUGAAUCUACAGUAGCUGUGCCUGUCUCUGAAAGGGGAUUAUCGUCUAAGCGGUUUUUUCCCCUUUUGUGCAAAACGGUCCGUUACAUAAAUGUUAAUUUG